AUGGCGAUGGAGAGGAGGAAGGUUGAUAGUGAGAGAAGAGAGGGGAUCGAGGAGAGCAAUGAGAUGGGCACGGAGGUGCUCCCGGCCGUUGACAAGAAGGGCAAGGAGCCGGUUCAUCCAAUGUCCGAGGUGGUGCUGCAGCCCACCGACGACGAGCGCAUGGAGGAGCCCCCCAGCAACAAGCGCCACAACUACGGCCACUACCAUGAGGAGGGUGGCCCAACUCACUUCUGCAAGGUCAUCCUUGCACCGAAGCUUGAGUGCACCCCAUGCCCCUGGACUUCACCAAGCACUUCGCCACGGUGCCGACGGAGUUCAAGCUGA
rnacentral:rRNA from 1 species